GCAGACUCACUCUGUUCUUUGCUGCCUACUCCAGCCUGGAACUUUUUCUGUCUGCUACAUAAACAUGCAGGAUGGAACAAUGCUAGCUCUGCUACAAGGGC
ensembl:snoRNA small nucleolar RNA, H/ACA box 77B